AGCUUUGCACAGUAACACUCUUAUAGCCAAUGAGGUUUAUCUCAGGUGUGAUUAUUGCUAAUUGAAAACUUUUCCCAAUACCUCACCAUCACGACUUGAAAUAUAGUCAGUAUUGGCAAUUUUUGACAGUCUUUAUUGAGA